GACAAAUUUAGCUCAGCUGGUAGAGCUUGAGGCUCUGAAUCUCAGGGUUUGUGGGCUUGAGCCCCACAUUGGGCA